CCUACGGGAGGCAGCAGUGGGGAAUAUUGCGCAAUGGGCGAGAGCCUGAACCAGCCAAGUCGCGUGAGGGAGUACUGCCCUAUGGGUUGUAAACCUCUUUUGUCGGGGAGCAAAAGCCGGACGUGUCCCGCUGUGAGAUUACCCGUAGAAACAGCAUCAGCUAACUCCGUGCCAGCAGCCGCGGUAAUACGGAGGCUGCGAGCGUUAUCCGUAUUCACUGGGUGUAAAGGGAGCGUAGGCGGCCGUGCAAGCCAGGGGUGAAAGCCCGGGGCCCAACCGCGGGACUGCCUGUGGAACUGGAGGGCUGGAGUGCGGGAGGGGGAGGUAGAAUUCCAGGUGUAGCGGUGAAAUGCGUAGAGAUCAGGAGGAACACCGGCGGCGAAGGCGGCCUGCUGGACGGAGACUGACGUUGAGGCUCGAAAGCGUGGGGAGCGAACAGGAUUAGAUACCCCUGUAGUC
rnacentral:rRNA from 1 species